rnacentral:ribozyme from 16 species
GCAUGAAGCUAAUAACCAACAAAAAAUUACAAAAGUCGAAGAAAAGAUUCCGAGACCACCACACCUGUCCACGUAUGUUGUGGAAGCUUGCCCUCUAAGCCUCCCCGGUGUGUGGUUUUUUCUUCUUUUCUUUUUUCUGUUUUUUUU